GCUGGGUGCAGUGGUGCAUGCCUGUAAUCCCAGCAGCUUGGGAGGCUGAGGCAGGAAGAUCGUUAGUUCAAAGCCAGCCUUAGCAGUGUAGCAAAGCGCUAAGCAACUCAGUGAGAGCCUGUCUCUA
rnacentral:sRNA from 1 species